CCUACGGGCGGCAGCAGUGGGGAAUAUUGGACAAUGGGGGCAACCCUGAUCCAGCCAUGCCGCGUGUGUGAAGAAGGCCCUCGGGUUGUAAAGCACUUUCAGUGAGGAAGAACGCCUGGUGGUUAAUACCCAUCAGGAAAGACAUCACUCACAGAGGAAGCACCGGCUAACUCCGUGCCAGCAGCCGCGGUAAUACGGAGGGUGCGAGCGUUAAUCGGAAUUACUGGGCGUAAAGCGCGCGUAGGUGGCUUGAUAAGCCGGUUGUGAAAGCCCCGGGCUCAACCUGGGAACGGCAUCCGGAACUGUCAAGCUAGAGUGCAGGAGAGGAAGGUAGAAUUCCCGGUGUAGCGGUGAAAUGCGUAGAGAUCGGGAGGAAUACCAGUGGCGAAGGCGGCCUUCUGGACUGACACUGACACUGAGGUGCGAAAGCGUGGGUAGCAAACAGGAUUAGAUACCCUGGUAGUC
rnacentral:rRNA from 1 species